UACGGAGGGGGCGAGCGUUAUUCGGAAUUAUUGGGCGUAAAGGGCGCGUAGGCGGCCCGCUAAGUCAAAAGGUGAAAUCCCUCGGCUCAACUGAGGAACUGCCUUUGAGACUGUCGAUCUCGAGUCCGGGAGAGGUGAGUGGAACUGCGAGUGUAGAGGUGAAAAUUCGUAGAUAUUCGCAAGAACACCAGUGGCGAAGGCGGCUCACUGGCCCGGUACUGACGCUGAGGUGCGAAAGCGUGGGGAGCAAACAGGG
rnacentral:rRNA from 1 species